rnacentral:misc_RNA from 1 species
GUUUUUAUGUGUGUAGUUUCAACAGUCCUGCAAGCAGAUCAAUCACAUGUUGAUUAAACAACAAAUUACAGGUGAAGGCGUAAAAGUAAUACAAUUUCUAAAUUGCAUGAAACAUAAAGGAUUUCUACAGUACCUACUUCAAUGAAAAUGAUGGUUUACAGUAGACGAUUGAGUCGACCUAAGGACAGUAGGUUUUAAGUCCUUUUCUCUUGCAUCCAUUCUACA